rnacentral:rRNA from 1 species
GACGAACGCUGGCGGCGUGCUUAACACAUGCCAGUCGAACGGAAAGGCCCUGCUUUUGUGGGGUGCUCGAGUGGCGAACGGGUGAGUAACACGUGAGUAACCUGCCCUUGACUUUGGGAUAACUUCAGGAAACUGGGGCUAAUACCGGAUAGGAGCUCCUGCUGCAUGGUGGGGGUUGGAAAGUUUCGGCGGUUGGGGAUGGACUCGCGGCUUAUCAGCUUGUUGGUGGGGUAGUGGCUUACCAAGGCUUUGACGGGUAGCCGGCCUGAGAGGGUGACCGGCGACAAUGGGACUGAGAGACGGACCAGACUGCAACGUGAGGCAGCAGGGGGGAAUAUUGCACAAUGGGCGGGAGCCUGAUGCAGCAGCGCCGCGUGCGGGAUGACGGCCUGCGGGUUGUAAACCGCUUUCGCCUGUGACGAAGCGUGAGUGACGGUAAUGGGUAAAGAAGCACCGGCUAACUACGUG